rnacentral:lncRNA from 1 species
UGUGACAAGGGUGAUUAACUGAUUAUAGUCGAAUGCUCCGAUAAACUAAAGUUGGAAAGGUUUCGUGGGCUUUACUUUUGUUAAUACAGUAUAAAAUCAUCAUAUUAUUAUAUGAAUAGAAAAAAGAAAGACAAUGGUAUAAAGAGGAAAAAGAUUGGAAGGGCACGAGGCUUGUUUCUUUAUCCAAUGGUACUCACAAGCUGUAAGGUCACAUUUCACUUUGUUCUUAUCAUCUUCAACCACAAACUCAUCAAACCAUCUCCCAGUUUAACUACCUUCUAACUAUAGCAACAACAUUCCCUUUGUUGCUGCCACUAUAGUUGAAUACUGGUUGAAUUCACAUGGAAUGGGUAAAUAAGCAUGCUCUAUUCCCUGCUCUCACUCUAGUUAACUUAAACUUACCAAUGAUGCUAUAAUUGCGUUCAUGCCUUUGAAGUA